UAAAAUCUUUAUUUGGUCCAAUUUAAUAUAGUUUAGAAGCAAUUCUUUUUGAGGCAAACCUUUUUUGAAAAUGUAAAUUUUGUUUUUAAUUAAAGAAACUGAAUUUUGUAAUUCAGUUUCUUUAGUUAAGAAAACUCAGGAUGCACAAAACUAUUCAGACUGUUACUUUAGCAUUCUCCCAUUACCUCAUCAGUAAUAUUCACCACAUUUUGCUAAAUGUUUAUUGAUUAGAGUGUUGAAAUCAAAUUCUGCUCUGAAUGUAUAUGAAUACAUUGGAGAGGCUUUGUGUUUUUCACUGUGAAAUGCAACUGUGCCUUGAAUAAGAAGGUACCUAGAAGCCAAAUUAAAGUAAUAAUGACUUCUUAUUGGCUUUGAUUUUUCAUUGUAGUAUAUGGGAUUGCACAACAGAAAAUGCUUACCAUUCAUUUCUGAUAUUUUUUAAGGCACAACUGGAAACAUUUAUAUCAUAUAUACAUAGCAGCAGGGAUCUGUGCCCUUCAGGUACAUUAAAUCUGACCAUUAGUUCAUAUAUGUCAUUGAAUUUUAAUAAUACUCAUGUUAAUAAUAGUCACCUAUCCUUGCAUUUUGAAAAUGUUCUCAAUUUAGUGAACUUCAGUUGGAUUUCUGGGCAAAAGGAUGUGUUUCUUUUAUGUUGCUUUCUGUCUGACGCCCUUGUCAGAAUCUGUGAAACUCUUGUUUAGGUUUAGUGGGAUCAUGGCGUCAGAGAAGGAAAGCUAUCAAAGAAAUAGUACUUCAGGGAAUAGAAAUGAUUGAUCAACUUUAAAAAUAAAAAUUUUUUAUUGCAAUAUGCAACUUCAGUUGCCCGGAAUCUUAGUUCCAUUUCUCAUUCUUGGUAUUGAGCUGGUCAGAUGACAUCAGCAGGUUAGAAGUUAAAUGGAGAUCAAAUGAAUUCAGUAGGAUGUUCCACUUAGAGUAAUCUUCAAAAUGAUAAAGUGUUCUAGAAUAAAGGAAUGUAGUAGGAACUAUACUAUGCUUAACUUUCUAUCCCAGAGUUUCUUGCAAGAGUUUAGGAGUUGUGGACCCUAUGUAUUGGCAGAAAAGUUAUCUCCAUCUUAAGGAGGCAUGACUUUUACACCUGUGAGCUCAUUUAAGGUGAAUUUAAACAUAAAAUAAUUUCCCUGUAUUAUGCUUCAUGGAAUUAAAUUGCUUUUCUAGAACAUUUUCAGAUUCCCCUCCUUACAUCCUGAGCUCCUUGUGCAUAUACAUCUGUUGCUCAUCCACAAGGAACAAUGACGGUUACAUUGGAGAACAAGAAGCCAGUAAUACAUGGUCUCUAACUGAUGAUUCAGGCCUGGAUUUGAUCGAAAGUGUUUGCAGUUCCUCUUCCUUAGAAUACCGAGUAUAUGAAAAUGUUUUCAAUGCAUGGAACAGGAUGAAUCCUUUUUUCUUUAUAUAGCCAUUUGCACUUUUUCUUACUCGAUUUUAUAUUCAGUUAGUGUCUGAUAAGAUUUUCUUUGUUUAAGGGGAACAGACAUUGCCUUGGUAUCUUUUUUUUUCCCCACCACUUUUGGAGCUUAUCAGGUAAAAUCUUAAGCCACAUGAAUUGGUAACACCUCUGUUGGGAAAAGCAUUUGUGAGUUUUUAUGUACUUGGUCUUUGUUGUUGCUAUUCAUCCUAUGUUGUUAUUCAUCAUGUCCUCCCUCUCCCCGCAAUGUGCUAUUUUACUUAAGGAUUAGUCUACUUUCUGAAGAUCUUCAAGUGAGAGGCUGUGAAGUGCUGUAUCACCUUUAAUGAUAUAACACUCCUACCAUCUCGGUGUUUACGUAGGACUUACAUAGACUUCUUGGUUGUGUCUUUUUUGGAUACGAAAGUACAGUUGGAUCAUUUUCUUAUCUCUUUUUCUUAAGUAGUACUUGGUAGGUACUCCCCUUUAAAAGUCAGAAGCAUAAACCAUUGCGGAAUCUUAUUUGUAGACAUGCAGAAAAAAGAAAUGCCUUUCUAUAAGAUCUGUGAGUACUUAAAAAGAAAGCCCUCAGUGUGUGCGAAGUGAAUGUGAAAUAUAUGUGAAAUACAUAGAAUUACCAAAUAGUUUGGCAAAGGCAAGACACACUACCAAGUAAUUUAAAAAUAGUCCAAGGACCUGUAAGAAGUGAACUGAAGAAGAUGGAACUAAUUCUAGAAUAAAUGUUAAAAUGCCAUUCAAGAACAAAACCACAGAUGCUAGACAGACCUCCUGUGCUUAAAUUAUAGAAGAAUAAGAAUCUGAAUGAAUGGAAGGCCUUACCUGUAUAUGUUUUACAAAUUCCUAUUUCUAAAAUUUAAGUUCCUUAUUUAACAGAAGUAUAUUCUUUAAUGUUUAACUGUCUUGGGAAAUCUCAUUUGUGACAUUAUCUAAGAGGAUGGAAAGACCAGGGAGCCAGUGCCACGUUGAACAGAACAGUGGUUUAGUGAAUGUGUGAGGAAAGACUGGCAGCUGAUUAUUAAUGUUUUUGUAAUUCAGUUUAUAACUUGAAGCCAUGAAAAGGAGCAAAACUAAAUUGGUUUGACAGCCUACCACCUCUAGCUUUUCCUGUAAGUCACCAGCAAUAGGGGUGAGUCGCGCUUGCCCAUGACCAGGAGGGUUGUGUGUGUGUGUGUGUGUGCGCGCGUGCAUGUGUGUGCAUGUGUGUUAGUCUGCAGUCACAGCACACCUUUCUUUAUGUGCAUGUGCCCUCACAGCUUGGAACCCAGCAGUAUUCUGGGAGGGUGGAGGCGAAGUGCCCCAUGUAUUGUAUUAUGUAUUUUUUGAAAAAGGGUCUUGCUCUGUCACCCAGGCUGGAGUGCAGUGGUGCAAUCUCAGCUCACUGCAAAUUUUGCCUCCUGGUUCACGUAGUUCUCUUGCCUCAGCCUUCUGAAUCGCUGGGAUUACAGGUAUGCACUACCACUCUCAGCUAAUUUUUAUAUUUUUAGUAGAGACAGGGUUUCACCAUGUUAGCCAGGCUAGUCUCGAGUUCCUGGCCUCAGGUGAUCCGCCUGCUUUGGCCUCCCAAAGUGCUGAGAUUACAGGCAUGAGCCACCGUGCCUGACCCCAUGUAUUGUAUUUUUUCAGGGUAUAUUGAAAUCUAUUACCGGGAAUGGUGGAAUGGGUUUUAGUAUGUAUAAUGGAAAUAUAUAGAGUGGUUAUUAAAUCUAGAAACACAUAUAUAUUAAUUGUAUUGAAAUGUUAUAUUAAUACAUCAUUUAUGAUGUAUGUCUGGUCGUAGACCUCAUGGCCACCAGUUUGUUUAAGCAUUCUGAAUGUUUUUUAAUAGCAUUCAGUGGCAUUAAUGGAGGAGGAUGCUGUGUUUUCUCAAUUAAUCUCAUUGAUUUGUUUGGUAUAAGUUUGGGUCAGAAAUGAAACUGCUGAAACAUGGAUCAGUACAAGGGAGGGACACAGGGCUUAAAAUGUCCGCAGUCUUGACAGUGGACUUGGCAGUUCUAGUAAGCAGAAAUGCUUGAGCCUAAUUCUGAACUUCAAAAUCAUAUUUUAUACUUAAUUUCAGGAGCUUUCAUUUACAUAUUGAAAAAUGCCUUGACUGUUUUCACAUAAAUGGUGCUAAAACGUACCCCUUAUAAGAAUCGUAGCAAUCCACAGCAACAUUGGUUACUUCUGAAUAUUUUGAUAAGGGAACAAAGUCAAAAUGAAUGUAUUUAAUAAGCUUUCUCAUUUCCGUUGUUUUUAUAAAAAUAUGUUGGUAUUGUUGCUUGCAUUUUAGCAACUUCUAACUUUUUGUAUUAUGAAUUCGGAGAGGAUAACAACCCAAUUUUAGAACUUCUGCCAGUGGUGAUGGUGUUUUUCUUCUGUGCAUAAGCCAUUGUGAAUGGAGACCAGCGGAGCAGCACACUAUGUGAACCUGGCAGUGUUCAUCUUGGCUUGUUUAGCAGCAUCUCCUCUGUUUACACCGUAAGAUGUUUAGCAUGUGUCAGAAAUUUCGCCUGCUCUGAAAUUGAAACAUGCCCCUGGGGCUCUGGGCAGUUUGGGUCCUUGGUUCCCACCUGCAAAUGCGGUCGGAUGCCUGGCUCCUGGGGCAGAGUUUCCUCUGCUACUUGUUGAGUUUCUUGUCUUCACUGUCAGAAGCUGAACCGACUUGGGGGCUUUGCUGUUGAUUCACUUUAGCAAACCCUGCUGCUGAGGACUGUAAAAAUAAAUAACUAAAAAUAAACUUACAAAAUACAACUCAGAAGCCUGGCUGUGUUGCUGUGGUCAAAUGCUUGCCUUUGAGGACUUUGGCAGAUUGUGGUAUUGCAGUGGGCUUUAACUGUCUGGCACCGGCAAGGCAGACCUAUGAUGUCCACAUGGCUGAUUCUCGGCCCCUGCCCAUUGUAAGCAGGGGAAUCAGGAGUUUGGGGAGGCAGUAUUGGGCAGUGCUGAGAGUUAGAUGAGAUGAAGCAGUUAGCACAGUGCUUAGCCCACACUAAGUGCCCCUAACCUUACCAACCAAAUUAGGUGCAUAGUUACCAGCUUGGGUCUGGAUUCAGCAGCAUUUCCACUGCCCACUAAAAGGGUGAGCUUAGGCACUUCCUGAACCUCCCUAAAUUCUGUUUCUUCAUCUUUACCACACAUAGUCUGUCCUGGUGGUGGUGUGGAUUCAGUGAGGUGCUAGCACUUAUGGGGGAAGAUCCCCCAGACCUGCAAAGCAGGGCUGCAGCCCCAAUUCUGACCCAGUGUUGCUGUGUGUUUGCUGCGAAGAGGUCUGCUGUGUGCAGGACAUUUCUUUAUGAACCAUUUACACUGCUGGAAAUGUACCCAGCAAUAUGAUAGCAAGAACUUCAACAAACUGCUUAUGAAUCAGGCUGUCAUUGAAAGAAGUUAAUCAUCUGAAGAUGAGGGAAGACUAGACUUUCAGAGUCAUCUUGGGGAUAGAGAAUGAAGUUUGAGUCAGCAGAGAUCUGCCUUCCUGUUUGUCAAAUAACUGCUGAGUCUGGGAGUCUUGCAAAAUGGAUCUGGGCUUCCGAAGAACCACUGGGUAGGUACUGGGCAUCCAUUAGAGAGCAGUGCUACAUUGGUCAUGUGCAGCAGAAAGACCUUCCCAUGGUGAACAACAUACCACUUUUCUCCUCCACUGGCCCACUCACUUGUAUUGAUACACUUUUUCAGUGUCGGAAAUGUACUUACUCCCUCUACCUGUCUGAGUUAUGGUGCUCUGCUUAACUCUGUGGAUGGUGUUUCUUGAAUUUCCUUUUCUACCUCUUUUUCCCACUCAAGGAAGUGGAGAGAAAAACAGGGAUGCAGGUUGUGGGUCUUAUGGAAGCCCUUUACAACCAUUAAAUAAAGAACACCAGCUGCAUUAUUGUUUAUACAAUAUGCUCCUAUUUACCACUUUGGUUUUGCCUGAAACCUUCUGGACAUGAUCUUUCUGCAGCUCCUCUGAAUUUUCUGCCCCACCUCCCCACUCCUGCCCUUGCCUUUUGUCUGGGCUUGGUUGCCUGUUCAUUUGCUCACUGCCUUGUCUGGCCCUACAGAGUUAGAACAGGAGGAGGGAGCUAAGGUAGGGAGGGCACAGAGAUCUCAACCCUCCAUAGGAAUUGUCCUAAGCCGGUACACUUCUUGGACUCAGCCAGGGUUUCAUUCUUACUCUCUCACGGGGUACUUUCAGGAAUCUUUGAGGCCCCCUCUGUCUUUCCACCUCUUGUCCCUGGCUCAGGGUCUUCCCAGGUGCCUUGACCAAGGCAGCUCCUGGGAUGUGCUAAUGCUGUUGCCUCCGACCACCACUUCCUCCUUUGCAGCUCUUAGGAAGCCAGUGAUAGCUCCAGCUUCUUUCUCCUGGGCCCUGUGCACCCUGCUAGGUGGCCCUGUGGGAUAGGCCUUAAGAUGACCUUAAGACAGGCCUGUUGAUCUGUGUAGCCAGGGUCUGGGCCAAGGGAAAGACUUUGGCACCCCCUGCCCUGUCAAACGCAGGAUAUACCAGUCAGCCCCAGUGCCCUUCUAUUAGAUUUGGUGGGUGGGUCAGACACCAGCCCAUGGAGUUCCCAGGACUGAGGACCCCAUUUCAAGCUUUUGAAUGUUAUACCCCGCUAGCCCAGGAGGAGUGGGACCAGUGUAGCUCUGUGCAAAGAAACCAUCUCUAUAAAAUCUUUUAAAAUAUCUACUCUUAGUCCUUUUUUGCCCUCCUUGUUUUGAGGGAUGACAGAGUCAGGGAGUUCAAUUCCUGCAGCAGGAGGCCGGGAGCUAUCAGAAGUCCCUGUUUUGUGUGGCCACCUUCUCUUUGGUGUGAGUGUUGUCCUCUGGCUGCAUUCUUAUUUUCUACACAUAGCCCAGGUGUAACCUGGUGCCCACCCGUGGUAAGUGUCAGGCUGGUCCUGCAGUAGCCCAGUGCCUAGAGUGAGGAAGGACCUGCCGGGCAAAGCAAGGCAUUCAUCAGGCCAGGGUUUCUAGAACCAUCCCAGGCUGCUGGGAGUGGAUGUGUGGGUUGCGUGCUGCAGAACUCCAGGAGAUGUCAUUUCCAUCAUAGCCCAGGGGAAUACUUGAGCCUGGCAAAGGGAGAUGGUUCUGGAGGGAGGUUUCGGUAACAUCCAAGCCCAAGGUGAGCAGGACCCCCUGAGCCAAGCUGUUGGGACUGAAGAGGAAAAGGAGACAGCACUGACAGAACUUAGAGACUUGACUAAGAGGAGUAGGACAUGGAGUGGGUUUCUGGGUGGGUCCCCCUGUGACUGCUCUAGAUGGGAGAUACCAGAGAAAGUGUGCAGGGAUGGGUUGAAGGCCACGGCCCCUCUGGGACCCUAGCAGAUGUUGGGAGGUGACUGGAAAUACCCAGUGACUGGUCCGAAGCUUGGGAACAAGUUAGGGCUAGAAGAACAGACUUGGGCAUCACCACUGUAUUUGGAGCUGGAAAUAGGCCCAGAUUAGGGAACCUGGGUGCAUGAGGACUGGAUUCCCAGUGAAGGUGGAAGUGGGCCUGCCAGCCAUUUGUAUACUUUUCUGAAGAGCAUGGAAUUAAAUAGUAUUGGGCAGGCUGGCAUUGGGAGAAAGACAAGAACCGAGUGAGAUUAGGAUGUGACCUUGCUGGCAUGAUGAAGGAAACGCUCUUUACCUCAGACUACAUGUGGACUGCAAGCAUCUGCCUGGAUGGUGCCAGGGACAGUGGAGAUACAGGCUGUUCUCCUCAGCCAUGUCCUUUAGACCAAGAGAGCUUUUACUGUGUAUCAGAUGACAGAUGAAAGACCCGGUAAGACUUUGAGGUGUAUAGUCUAAAGUUUGGAAAUAAUGAUUGCAUUUGUUAAUUCUAUUUUGGUCUUUGGAAUCAAGGGUCUCUGAACCUGAGAUAAGCAGUUGUUUCGUUUCAUAAAAGCUCUAGUCUCUAGUCAUUUUUCCUUGUUGAAAGCGGACCACAGUAAUGUGCUUUGAUUUGUUGGCCAAAGCACUGCCAUGUGGCUUGGAAGCUUAAGCAGACACGGCACCUCCGCCUUCUUGGACUGCCAUUGGUCACUCUGCAAAUCCUGAUGUCGCAAAAGAUUAGAACCGUGUAGAAAAGAUCUUGUUCUAGAGGAGAGGAGGCUGAUCCAGAGGCAUCUAGUCGCUUGCCUGAGUCACAGCUAAUGAGCAGGAGACAGAAUGAGGACUCACAGUUCCUGAUGUAUUUUUCCCUUUUGUUCAAAGCCCAGUGUAUCGAACUGGGUAAUCAGCAUGGUAUUUGCUCUUAUAUUGUCCAGGUAAAAAACCUGGAGCUUGUUGGGAGCAGAAUUACAAAUAUAAGCAAUGCCAACCUUCUCUGCACCUUAGCAUUGCCUUUAAUAGUGUCA